UCACACUGCCUAAAGUAUUCUGAUGAGAC
rnacentral:sRNA from 1 species